CACAUUAUGUACUCGCACAUCAUCGAUACAAUUUCAAAGUAUCCUAACUCUCGAGAGGCGAAUUUGCAAAGGAGAAAAUUAUGCAAACACAUACGCAGUCCACCGUUUUAUCCAUACGAAGACUGGAGUAUCCCGAACAAACUUUCCCAGGGAUUGUUUCUCAACGCUUCAGGAUUGUCACAAGGCCAAUCAUGACUGCAACUUCCUUCAAGUCAUCCGCCGUGUCAGCCUUUCAAUUAUACAUAUACGCGCUCUCCAUUUGACGCAGUCUGUAGUGUAUUCCUACUACUUAUAGCUGUGGUGUUCCGUAUUAAAAACUAACUGCAGAUUGAGAAAUGCAUGAUAAAAUAAUAUAAGGCAGCA